rnacentral:rRNA from 1 species
CCUACGGGUGGCAGCAGUGGGGAAUAUUGGACAAUGGGGGGAACCCUGAUCCAGCCAUGCCGCGUGUGUGAAGAAGGCCCUCGGGUUGUAAAGCACUUUCAGUGAGGAAGAACGCCUGGUGGUUAAUACCCAUCAGGAAAGACAUCACUCACAGAAGAAGCACCGGCUAACUCCGUGCCAGCAGCCGCGGUAAUACGGAGGGUGCGAGCGUUAAUCGGAAUUACUGGGCGUAAAGCGCGCGUAGGUGGCUUGAUAAGCCGGUUGUGAAAGCCCCGGGCUCAACCUGGGAACGGCAUCCGGAACUGUCAAGCUAGAGUGCAGGAGAGGAAGGUAGAAUUCCCGGUGUAGCGGUGAAAUGCGUAGAGAUCGGGAGGAAUACCAGUGGCGAAGGCGGCCCUCUGGACUGACACUGACACUGAGGUGCGAAAGCGUGGGUAGCAAACAGGAUUAGAUACCCCUGUAGUC